GAUGAACGCUGGCGGCGUGCCUAAUACAUGCAAGUCGAGCGAACGGACGAGAAGCUUGCUUCUCUGAUGUUAGCGGCGGACGGGUGAGUAACACGUGGAUAACCUACCUAUAAGACUGGGAUAACUUCGGGAAACCGGAGCUAAUACCGGAUAAUAUUUUGAACCGCAUGGUUCAAAAGUGAAAGACGGUCUUGCUGUCACUUAUAGAUGGAUCCGCGCUGCAUUAGCUAGUUGGUAAGGUAACGGCUUACCAAGGCAACGAUGCAUAGCCGACCUGAGAGGGUGAUCGGCCACACUGGAACUGAGACACGGUCCAGACUCCUACGGGAGGCAGCAGUAGGGAAUCUUCCGCAAUGGGCGAAAGCCUGACGGAGCAACGCCGCGUGAGUGAUGAAGGUCUUCGGAUCGUAAAACUCUGUUAUUAGGGAAGAACAUAUGUGUAAGUAACUGUGCACAUCUUGACGGUACCUAAUCAGAAAGCCACGGCUAACUACGUGCCAGCAGCCGCGGUAAUACGUAGGUGGCAAGCGUUAUCCGGAAUUAUUGGGCGUAAAGCGCGCGUAGCGGGUUUUUAGUCUGAUGUGAAAGCCCACGGCUCAACCGUGGAGGGUCAUUGGAAACUGGAAAACUUGAGUGCAGAAGAGGAAAGUGGAAUUCCAUGUGUAGCGGUGAAAUGCGCAGAGAUAUGGAGGAACACCAGUGGCGAAGGCGACUUUCUGGUCUGUAACUGACGCUGAUGUGCGAAAGCGUGGGGAUCAAACAGGAUUAGAUACCCUGGUAGUCCACGCCGUAAACGAUGAGUGCUAAGUGUUAGGGGGUUUCCGCCCCUUAGUGCUGCAGCUAACGCAUUAAGCACUCCGCCUGGGGAGUACGACCGCAAGGUUGAAACUCAAAGGAAUUGACGGGGACCCGCACAAGCGGUGGAGCAUGUGGUUUAAUUCGAAGCAACGCGAAGAACCUUACCAAAUCUUGACAUCCUUUGACAACUCUAGAGAUAGAGCCUUCCCCUUCGGGGGACAAAGUGACAGGUGGUGCAUGGUUGUCGUCAGCUCGUGUCGUGAGAUGUUGGGUUAAGUCCCGCAACGAGCGCAACCCUUAAGCUUAGUUGCCAUCAUUAAGUUGGGCACUCUAAGUUGACUGCCGGUGACAAACCGGAGGAAGGUGGGGAUGACGUCAAAUCAUCAUGCCCCUUAUGAUUUGGGCUACACACGUGCUACAAUGGACAAUACAAAGGGCAGCGAAACCGCGAGGUCAAGCAAAUCCCAUAAAGUUGUUCUCAGUUCGGAUUGUAGUCUGCAACUCGACUACAUGAAGCUGGAAUCGCUAGUAAUCGUAGAUCAGCAUGCUACGGUGAAUACGUUCCCGGGUCU
rnacentral:rRNA from 1 species